AUCAAACUCACAACCUAUUGGUCCCUAGUUGGAUUCGUUUCUGCUGCACCACGACGGGAACUCCUACUCUCAUAUUCUUUUUUUUUUUUUUUUAUUUUUUGUCUUUUUUGUUGUUGUUGUGUCUGCAGGACUCAAAUUCCCAGGUAUUUUGAAUCUGCUGUAGCAGUGGCCCAAACCAUAGCAGUGACAAUGCUAGGUCCUUCAACAGCUAGGCC
rnacentral:lncRNA from 1 species